ensembl:lncRNA
GGCAUUUGGCUGCGCUGGGUAAAUGCCAUCGCCCAUGCUGAGUGCUUAGUUAAUGGAUGCCUGCCCGUGGACACCCCAGCACCCGUUUAUACCUUUUAUUAGUUGUACUGUUUCCCUAUCUCCAGCCCUCCACUCUCUCCUUUCUUCCCCUCCUUCUUAAGUCCUUCAUCGCCCCCGGUGCUCUGCGCUACUCCACGGCCCUCACUGUGUCUCUCUCAUGGUACGAGGGUCCUGGAAGCUGUGGGAGGGCUCUGGUCCUUCAGUGAGGAGCCGCUCCAUUAGCUUCGGAUGCAG